rnacentral:rRNA from 1 species
UACGAAGGGGGCGAGCGUUGUUCGGAAUCACUGGGCGUAAAGGGCGCGUAGGCGGCCCUCUUAGUCGCGUGUGAAAGCCCCGGGCUCAACCUGGGAACGGCGCGCGAAACGGGAGGGCUGGAGUUCGGGAGAGGAGAGUGGAAUUCCCAGUGUAGAGGUGAAAUUCGUAGAUAUUAGGAAGAACACCAGUGGCGAAGGCGGCUCACUGGCCCCGGUACUGACGCUGAGGCGCGAAAGCGUGGGGAGCAAACAGG